rnacentral:tRNA from 1 species
GGGGGCGGAUGUGGCCCGGUGGCUGCACUGGUCUUCAAAACCAGCGGGCGCGGUGACGAGCCGCGCCGGUGGGUUCGACUCCCACACGCCCUCGCCA